rnacentral:rRNA from 1 species
UACAGAGGUCUCAAGCGUUGUUCGGAUUCAUUGGGCGUAAAGGGUGUGUAGGUGGCGCCGUAAGUCGGGUGUGAAAUCUCGGGGCUUAACUCCGAAACUGCAUUCGAUACUGCGGUGCUUGAGGACUGGAGAGGAGACUGGAAUUCAUGGUGUAGCAGUGAAAUGCGUAGAUAUCGUGAGGAAGACCGGUGGCGAAGGCGGAUCUCUGGACAGUUCCUGACGCUGAGGCGCGAAGGCCAGGGGAGCAAACGGG